UACGAAGGGGGCUAGCGUUGCUCGGAAUCACUGGGCGUAAAGCGCACGUAGGCGGACUCUUAAGUCGGUGGUGAAAUCCUGGAGCUCAACUCCAGAACUGCCUUCGAUACUGAGAGUCUCGAGUCCGGGAGAGGUGAGUGGAACUGCGAGUGUAGAGGUGAAAUUCGUAGAUAUUCGCAAGAACACCAGUGGCGAGGCGGCUCACUGGCCCGGUACUGAC
rnacentral:rRNA from 1 species